UACGUAGGGUGCGAGCGUUAAUCGGAAUUACUGGGCGUAAAGCGUGCGCAGGCGGCGGCUCAAGUCAGGUGUGAAAUCCCCGGGCUUAACCUGGGAAUUGCGCUUGAAACUAGGCUGCUUGAGUGUGGCAGAGGGGGGUGGAAUUCCACGUGUAGCAGUGAAAUGCGUAGAGAUGUGGAGGAACACCGAUGGCGAAGGCAGCCCCCUGGGUCAACACUGACGCUCAUGCACGAAAGCGUGGGGAGCAAACAGG
rnacentral:rRNA from 1 species